CAGCCGCCGCGGUAAUACGUAGGGUGCGAGCGUUAAUAGGAUUUACUGGGCGUAAAGCGUGCGCAGGCGGCCCGUUAAGACAGGUGUGAAAUCCCUGGGCUCAACCUAGGAAUUGCGCUUGUGACUGGCGGGCUCGAGUACGGUAGAGGGGGGUGGAAUUCCUGGUGUAGCAGUGAAAUGCGUAGGGAUCAGGUGGAACACCGAUGGCGAAGGCAGCCCCCUGGGCCUGUACUGACGCUCAUGCACGAAAGCGUGGGGAGCAAACAGGAUUAGAUACCCUGGUAGUCCACGCCCUAAACGAUGGGUACUAGCCGUUUGUGGCGCGAUAGCGCUGAGUGGCGAAGCUAACGCGUGAAGUACCCCGCCUGGGGAGUACGGCCGCAAGGUUGAAACUUAAAGGAAUUGGCGGG
rnacentral:rRNA from 1 species